AUUGAACGCUGGCGGCAGGCCAAACACAUGCAAGUCGAGCGGAUGAAGGGAGCUUGCUCCUGGAUUCAGCGGCGGACGGGUGAGUAAUGCCUAGGAAUCUGCCUGGUAGUGGGGGAUAACGUCCGGAAACGGGCGCUAAUACCGCAUACGUCCGGGGGGAGAAAGGGGGGGAUCUUCGAACCUCACGCUAUCAGAUGAGCCUAGGUCGGAUUAGCUAGUUGGUGGGGUAAAGGCCUACCAAGGCGACGAUCCGUAACUGGUCUGAGAGGAUGAUCAGUCACACUGGAACUGAGACACGGUCCAGACUCCUACGGGAGGCAGCAGUGGGGAAUAUUGGACAAUGGGCGAAAGCCUGAUCCAGCCAUGCCGCGUGUGUGAAGAAGGUCUUCGGAUUGUAAAGCACUUUAAGUUGGGAGGAAGGGCAGUAAGUUAAUACCUUGCUGUUUUGACGUUACCAACAGAAUAAGCACCGGCUAACUUCGUG
rnacentral:rRNA from 1 species